GAGGGUAUAGCUCAGUGGUAGAGUGCAUGCCUAGCAUGCAUGAGGUCCUGGAUUCAUUUCCCAGUACUUCUG
rnacentral:tRNA from 1 species